GGGCACUUGGCACAGGGGUAGCGCGCACGCUUCGCAAUGGUAUAUCUGCCUCAAGAAUGCGUGAGGUCGUGGGUUCAAAUCCCACAGUGUCCA